rnacentral:SRP_RNA from 14 species
GGCCAGGGAGGAAACGGAGGAGGGCGAGGCGGCCGCGGCGGCCACCGCGGCGGCCGGAAAGCCUUCGCCUGUCGG